GACGAACGCUGGCGGCGUGCCUAAUACAUGCAAGUUGAGCGCUGAAGGUUGGUACUUGUACCAACUGGAUGAGCAGCGAACGGGGGAGUAACGCGUGGGGAAUCUGCCUUUGAGCGGGGGACAACAUUUGGAAACGAAUGCUAAUACCGCAUAAAAACUUUAAACACAAGUUUUAAGUUUGAAAGAUGCAAUUGCAUCACUCAAAGAUGAUCCCGCGUUGUAUUAGCUAGUUGGUGAGGUAAAGGCUAACCAAGGCGAUGAUACAUAGCCGACCUGAGAGGGGGAGCGGCCACAUUGGGACUGGGAAACGGCCCAAACUCCUACGGGAGGCAGCAGUAGGGAAUCUUCGGCAAUGGACGAAAGUCUGACCGAGCAACGCCGCGUGAGUGAAGAAGGUUUUCGGAUCGUAAAACUCUGUUGGUAGAGAAGAACGUUGGUGAGAGUGGAAAGCUCAUCAAGUAACGGUAACUACCCAGAAAGGGACGGCUAACUACGUG
rnacentral:rRNA from 1 species